UCAGUGUCGGAUUUGGACGGGUGGCCCACGUACUGCGGGGCUCCCUGAGCCAGCGUCCCUAGGUGGUGCCACUCCGGGAGCCCAGCACCCCCGGAAAAAGCCCCUCCUCUUCCCCACUCGGGUCAUUCAAGUUCUUGCUCAGCCCACCGCUGCCCUCCUCACCUCCCUCCCCAUUCCCCCCCUCCUCUUCCGCGGGCCACUCUCCUUCGGCCUCUCCCUGCCCCUCGCGGCUAAGCCAGGGACUGCCAGACGCCCCUGAGCACUCUGAAGAACAGGUUUCCUCGUUCAGCCCCGGGACAACCUCCGCUUUCUGUCUGGGGUGCACCGGUGGCUAUGAGAGGGGGCCCACUGCAGGACUUCUGCAGGACUUCCCAGGGCAGUCCCGGCCUUAGGACCCUGUCCCGAGUUCGAAGUGGAGGCCGCGUUCCAGAGCUGCAAGGCUGCUCCCAGAAACGAAAUCUGCCGCUCUGACAGCUCUGUUGAAGGUGAUUGAUGACUAUCUGGAGACCGCAGUACACAUCAUAUAAUAUCUGCUGCGUAAUUGCUUUAAUUUACAGAUGAAAAUACGAGUUCUCCGAUCGCGUUGGACCGCAGCCGGCCAGGUCCGAGCUGCUUGCAAAGGAAAACCAUCGAAAAUAAUGAAUAGCCGCUCCAUGCAAAUUAUUCAGACAGUUUAGCGUCCGUAGCCGGGAGAGAUAUAUAAAGAACACGAGUCAAAUGACAUUAAUAAUUGUUUUUGAAUUCUGUA